rnacentral:lncRNA from 1 species
CACCAAAUAAUGGGGCAUCCCACAUUAAUUUUGGCAUGGAAUUCCUUCCAAGAGAAGGACUACACAUCCUCUUCCAUGUCUCACAUCCCAGGGCACCAUCAGAUGGCGCACAAAUUCAAGGAACAAGUGGAACAUGUAAGAAUUUUAAGAUAAGUAAAGGAGAAGGACUCCUCUCCUUAAAUUCCAAAAUAAAUGUGACGCCUCCAAUAUUC